rnacentral:sRNA from 1 species
CGACUUUAGUUAUUUUAUACUUGUUUGCAUCACUUCAUGUACCAAGCAGGAAGGUGUAGUGCCUCCUGGUGCACUGUAGGCCAUGCAGCAGACUGGCUUUUUCUUUUUCUGUUUUAUUUUUCAGGCUUUCAGUUAACUGUAUUGGUAUGACUUAUGAUCCUAGUGGGAUUCAAUGUCUCAAAAUAGCAGUAAGCUGGAAUAAUUUCCACUUGGGAUUACUUAAGGUGCAUUGUACAUAAUUAUGUCUGCCAUUUUGCCUAAACUGAAGUGCAAGUAUUACAGACAUCGAUGAAACUGCGACCUCUCGCCACUACUGUAGGUCAUCCACAGCAGAUGUGCUUUCCAUGUGAAACUUUCAUCAGCUCAAGUUGUAUUUUACUCUACUAAAUGUAGGGCUCACAAACCAUGUGCCAUAUUUUCUGGACUAUAAUUUGAACUGUUGUACAAGUCACCCCCUUUCCCCCCUCUUUUCACAACUUUCAAAGAAAAAAUAUGUGUAUAUAACUCAUUGUAUAAGAUGCAUCUAUCUUAACUUGGGUCAGCGUCGUGAAAUGCGAUUGUGCAUGUUUAUACACUUAUCCUAAAAUGUCGUACUUACCCAUUUCAGGGCACUAAACUUCAGUAAAAAAAAAUUUUAUGAGCCGCACAUUCUAGCAGACAAAAUAAACUGCAAGUACAUUGCUGGAGAAAAAGAAUGUCUCAUGUUGGUCUUGCAUAUAUAAGUUACACUGUUCUACAAUACACUUGGACGAAAAUGAAAAGAAAAUGGUGGCACCUAUGGUUUGGAAAAUAUGACAAGCUGCGAGAAGGCGUGUCCAUGGAUGCAGUACUGGAUAAUGUGCGGUCCAACGUGGAUGAGACAUUCCACCGCAUUAACCUGUUAAGCAAGUGGGAUCUUCGCAAAAUAAUGAGGGAUGCCAGAGUCUCGAAGACCGAGCGGCUGCACGAUAAUGACUAUGUGAGCGUGCAACUCUGGGUUGAGAGGAUGCAUAGUGAAAAGGAAAACCCAUUGCUCUUCUUUAAACACCAAGGACAACCUGACAAAAAGUGACAUUUUUUUAGAGAAAAAAAUGAGGACCUUUUGGAUGACAGAGAUUUUAUGCUAGUCAUCAUGACCACACCACAACAGGAGCUUUUCAAGAGGCUUGGAACUGAUCGUAUAUGUGUCGAUGGAACACAUGGAACAGCAGGUGAGCAGUACUAUAUAAAUGCAUUAAUAAUAAAAGCAAGAAAGAGGGAA